rnacentral:rRNA from 1 species
GACGAACGCUGGCGGCGUGCCUAAUACAUGCAAGUCGAGCGAAUGGAAGGGAGCUUGCUCCCUGAAGUUAGCGGCGGACGGGUGAGUAACACGUGGGCAACCUGCCUGUAAGACUGGGAUAACUUCGGGAAACCGGAGCUAAUACCGGAUACGUUCUUUUCUCACAUGAGGAAAGAUGGAAAGAUGGUUUCGGCUAUCACUUACAGAUGGGCCCGCGGCGCAUUAGCUAGUUGGUGGGGUAAUGGCCCACCAAGGCGACGAUGCGUAGCCGACCUGAGAGGGUGAUCGGCCACACUGGGACUGAGACACGGCCCAGACUCCUACGGGAGGCAGCAGUAGGGAAUCUUCCGCAAUGGACGAAAGUCUGACGGAGCAACGCCGCGUGAGCGAAGAAGGCCUUCGGGUCGUAAAGCUCUGUUGUCAGGGAAGAACAAGUGCCAGAGUAACUGCUGGCACCUUGACGGUACCUGACCAGAAAGCCACGGCUAACUACGUGCCAGCCGCCGCGGUAA